rnacentral:rRNA from 1 species
AUUGAACGCUGGCGGAAUGCUUUACACAUGCAAGUCGAACGGCAGCACGGGGCAACCUGGUGGCGGGUGGCGAACGGGUGAGUAAUACAUCGGAACGUGCCCAAUCGUGGGGGAUAACGUAGCGAAAGUUACGCUAAUACCGCAUACGAUCUACGGAUGAAAGCGGGGGAUCGCAAGACCUCGCGCGAAUGGAGCGGCCGAUGUCAGAUUAGGUAGUUGGUGGGGUAAAGGCUCAACAAGCCAACGAUCUGUAGCUGGUAUGAGAGGACGACCAGCACGACUGGGACUGAGACACGGCCCAGACUCCUACGGAAGGCAGCAGUGGGGAAUUUUGGACAAUGGGCGCAAGCCUGAUCCAGCCAUUCCGCGUGCAGGAUGAAGGCCUUCGGGUUGUAAACUGCUUUUGUACGGAACGAAACGGCUCUCUCUAAUACAGGGGGCUAAUGACGGUACCGUAAGAAUAAGCACCGGCUAACUACGUGCCAGCCGCCGCCGUAACAC